AAUAGAGGAACUCAGUCUAAGAACGCCACGUCCUGUGGCAAUUUAUCUGUGCGAAAGCGUAGCGGCAGCAACAACAACGACUGAGUGACCAACAUCGUGUUGC
rnacentral:sRNA from 1 species